CCAUCAAAGAUUAAUGAAAAUGGACGAAAUAUCGGAAGAACAACCAAAAGGCUUAGUUGGCAAAUUUCAAUUUAAAAAAUCUUCUCGAAAGCAAUCUACACGAACGAGAAAAAGAAGUGGUAGUGAAUCGGAAGAGAGUGAAAAGGAAUCCACAACAAUAUGUCUUCAACAUAGAGGUGUUACCAGUAAGAAUCCACUUGUUCAGAGUAUAAAGAAGCUUGGGUAAUAGAAAAUAUAAAUUCAAAUC